GGAAGUAAAAGUCGUAACAAAGUUUCCGUAGGUGAACCUGCGGAAGGAUCAUUAUUGAAUAAACCUGAUGUGGUUGUAGCUGGCCCUUUCGGGAGCAUGUGCACACCCGUCGUCUUUAUCUUUCCACCUGUGCACCUUUUGUAGACCUGGAUGUAACACUUUCCGAGGCAACUCGGUCGGGAGGAAUGCUGUCAGCUUUCCUUGAAUGUCCAGGCCUAUGUUUUCAUAUACCCCAAAGAAUGUAACAGAAUGUAUUAUUGGGCCUUGUGCCUAUAAACUAUAUACAACUUUCAGCAACGGAUCUCUUGGCUCUC
rnacentral:misc_RNA from 1 species